rnacentral:pre_miRNA from 1 species
CGAAAAUACUUGUCAUCAAAAUGGACAAAAAGGGAUGUAUCUAAAACUAAAAUACAUCUAGAUACAUCCCUUUUAUCCAUUUUGAUGACAAGUAUUUCCG